UGAGCCGAAGUUGGAUGCUUAACCGACUGAGCCACCCAGGCACCCCAACUUAUUUUAAUUUUUAAUCUGUAAUAAAUUGUCAUUUCCCAUGAUGUGUUGUAUUAGGAAACCCUUCUUUUAGUGUUGAUUUCCACUGAAUUGAGCCCUGACCUGUGCACAUUUGGUUGAUUAUCAAAUAUCCAACCAAAGCCUUCUGGCACCUUCCUCAAGGCUCCCCUGAGUCCCAAGGGGUCACCUCUGCCAUUUGAAAAACCCUAUGUUUCUGGUAAGGGACCUGACUGUAGGAAGCAGUGGAAGACGGUGGAAGAAGGCAUGGAGGUUUUUUUGUUUUUUGUUUUUUCCACCCAGUCUAUGCAAGUCAGAAUAAACCUCCAUCCCUUCUUUGGCCUCUAUCAAAUACAGAACCUGGUGCAGCUUCUAUGAGGAACAAGAAUUCUGUCCCUACUAUGAACACGGAGAAGGGCAAGGGAAAUGAUGUGACCAUUUUCAGUUGUAACUCUCUCUCUGGGAUCUUUUGUCUCUUUAUACAGCACUCUCUCCUGGUCUUGUCUCAAGGUUGUGUGUUCUGAGAUAUAUCUACAGUGUUAUUUACUUUACAAAGAGUAAAACUCUUUCCCAAGAGCCCACAGGCCUCUCUGUUCUUAGCUUGUUUGUCAUCUUUGAUCGUGCCUCCAGCAGCCAUAAGUAUGUUUAGAGGCUGAGGACCACAGGGCAGUCAGUCACUGUGUGUUUGUGGAAAUAACAUGAGGAAUAUGACAUCUCCCUUCACACUGAUGUCUCCUGGCCUGGCUCGCUUCUUCCAGACCUCCUUUCACGGGAAUGUUACUGAAAACUGAGACAGAAUUGUUGUUAUUAUUUUACUCCUUUUCUGUCCAGAGUUAGUCAUUAACCUGUUUAGAACAUCAAUUGUAAUCCUCACUAACUGAAAAACAUGAAAAGCCCAACUUUCUGAGAGGUGCUUGGCAAUUUUGAAUGCUCUUAUUCAAAGGUUGUUUUUUUCUAAAUUUCAUAAUUCAUCAGUUUUCCCAUCUCUUUUGGGAAAUGUGCUUUUGCAGAGUCACUGCAGCUGUUCAAAUAGUAAAAAAUAUUAUGAAUUCUCAGGGAAGACAUAUUUGCAGUAGAAAAUGUACACUGGAGCUGAAGGAAUAGAGAGUGAAAGUCAGGUCUGAUGUGCCAGUUUCUGGAAAAGAGCUGAUGCCAUAUUCAUGUAACCAGGUUCUUUUAUGGCCUCUGUAGCUGUAAUAGCUGGCAUCUUCUAUUCAUAUCUUAACUGUCUUUUCCACUUUGAUAUCAGAACACAUUCAUUUUAAUUCUGUCAUUUAAAAUUCCAAACAUAUUUUUCCACGGGACAAAAUUAAUCUGUGUGUCACAGUGUACGUAAAAAUUCAGCAUUACCUGUGAAUUCACAUAUUAUCUAUAACUUUUCCUAACUAAGUCCUGUAGGUGGCACUGUUCCUGCAGAAAACACUUUCCCAACUCCCCUAUAGGGCUCUAGGGAUGUCAUCUGCCCAUAGAUCUUUGUCCUUAGGACAGCAGGUCCAGAGAGGAAGCCAGGUAAGCAGAGGCUGCCAGCAGGACCUUGCAGGCAGAGCUGGUAUCAAUUCCUGCUUCACCUUUUGCAAGCUGUUUACCCUCAUUCCUCUUAGAACCUAUUUCCUUAUAUUUACAGCAGAGUGUAGCUGGUCAUCCUUACCUCGCAGAGUUCUGAGAAUCAGAGCUCGGGCAUGAAAGGCCUGUAGAAGGUUCUCUCAUGAGUCUCCGGAAUGAAACAACUCAUAAGAAUUAACUGGAGACAGACUCAAGAUUUCAGUGAAUGAUAUGAAACCAUAAUUCCCCAUUGUUAUUUCUGCUCUUAAUAUGCCAAGACAGAGCUGUUGAGGUGGUGAAUGGCUGCAUGGAGAGUAGUCCUGGAAAUAGAUGCCUGUGUGUGUGGAACAGACAUUCUUUAGUAGUCUGGAAUUAUCUCUCUGAUCCUCUAGGACCGGCCACUUCCUUCCUACAUUUGCAGACAUAGCCAGUACCAUGUAUGCUGCCAGAAAUUUACUGUCUUGGUUUCUCAAACUCCUAGAAGGUCUAAGUGGGACCCAGUGGGAAGAGUGGAGUUUUGUGGCACUGAUGCUGCCCUGUUGAAACCAGGUGGAGGGGAAGGAGACAGGCACUGUUCCUGUUUCACCGCGGUUCAGCUAUGUUAGUGUUGGUGUUGGUGUUGGAUUUUUCACCUUUUACCCUAACACAUCUCAAAAGUUUAAUAUCUGUCCUCAGGACAACGUGGCUGCCAGAGCAUUUCCUUCUUUCCCAGAAAGGGAAACUAUCCCAUGGGCUGCCCUUUAUCACAAUUCAUGGGCUCUGGGCCACCCCCAUCUUCUCCACCCUGGUGGCCUCUGGGACCUCACCCUCCACCUCCACCUCUACCAUUUGGUAAGAUGAUCUGAAUAGUAGUAGUUGACUUAUAAAACACAUUUCAUCUUUUUUUCUUAUUUAGUCUUUGGGGAAUAUGCAGGGAUGGCAUCACAGAGCUUUCAGGUCAACCUGACUGAGGGCAUUGCAACAUUCUCAGGACAUGCAUGAAAUGGGCUGUCAUUUCCACAUGGUGAGCUGGGCAGCAAGUGUCUCUAAUAGAGAAGAAACAGGCCUUAUACAGGGUGAUAGACAUAGCACUCCUUAGGAUGUAGCUUGUUACAGAGACCACGUGUUGGACUCUCUGAAGGAUGAGACACACCCCUAAAUUUAUUUCUAGCUAGUUGAGACCUGAGCUGUUCACAGUUGCUUGAUUAAUUAUGAAAACACCUGAACCAGGGCCCUGUGGAAUCUUCCUCAAGGGUCAGGGUCAGAUCUUUUCUCUUGACUAUAGUAUUAGUCUAAGGACAUUUCUAUUCAGAAAUAGUUAUAUAAUACCUGCUCACAUGUGGAAGGCAGCUUAUAGAUAAGCUGAAAGAUUGAACAGUUCUCCUGGAGCCAGAAGAAACACACCCAUGCUCUUCGGUUGAUUUAUUGAUGUUAUCUACCAAUUGACACUCUCAUUUUAAUUCUUAUCUGUAAUGAGAUGGUGAUUUAUUACCCCUAAUGUAUAUUAAGAAAUGGCUGUUUUAGUGACAAUUUCCAGAUUUCUAUUUGAGUUGACCUGUUGAAAGUUAUUUGACUAAUUAUGAAGAACAAGAACCAGGGCCCUAUGGUUUCUUCAUUAAGAUGAUGGGAUGGAUCUCCCCCAUCUCGCUGGGGUCACCUGAGGCUUGUGGGUUACUCUCUGCCUCUCUUCAUGGUCCUGAGUGUGAGGAAGAGUUUAAGAUGUCACAAGAUGUGGUGUUUGUUUGAAUUCUGCACAGUCUACUAAAAUCAGAACACACCUCCAUCCCUUCUAGAGCCUUUAGCCAAUCCAGAAGCUGCUGUCACUCCCAUGAGUCACAACAACAAGGACUCUACCAAAAAUGCCAAGAAGGACAAGGGUCUUUUGCAGAUCCAGAUUUUGCUCCCAUGAUUGACAAUAACAAUGAAUCUACCAAAAGGACCAAGAAGGAUAAGGUUCUCUGCAUGACCUCAGGAUCCCCAUCACCCCAUGUGUCUCUGUGCCCAUGGAUAACACUUCCAGAGAGGAGAAGACCCCAUUGUCAGGAGAGAAGCAGAUCGGGCACAGGAGGGGGCUUAGAGGAAGAGCUUUGAGCCCUGAGGGCUAUGAUUCCAUGUGUGGACACUGGCCUUGUCAUUCCUUCUUAUUUUGUAGUUCUUCACGUACAAAUAAGCAGCCUCUGUGGUGGAGGGGGGUAAGGGGUGGUGGUUGAUCCUGGACUUAGAUGCCUUCAUAUCAGGAAUAUGCUAUUUUCUUAAUUUUCUCCAUAUUCACUCCAUGAAUUCUCUAGGACAAGAGCCCUUGCUGUUCUACAUUUGCAGACAUGUGGGGACACUAGUUUCUUCCCAUAGCCUCUGUUCCCCAUCCCCAAAGCUCUCAGCGGAACCCAAAGUAUGGGUAGAGUUCUUUUGAUGCCGAUGCUGCCCACUUGGAACCCAGUUGUGGGGAAACUAGUAGGAGACGAGCACUACUUCUUUAGGUUUUCGCUUUUUGCCAGCGUUGGUGCUUGGUUCUGUCCUAUGAACACAGCUUUCAUUUCUGUUCCACAGGCCAUUAUGUAUGCAAGAGGGCCUGGUCCUUUCCUAGGUUCGCCUUGCAGGCUGUACCCCAUGGAUGGCCCUUCAUCACCAGCUCUUACCCCUCCUCCACCAUCUCCUCCACAUACUCAAUUUGGAGAAUUUGAAGUUUGAAGAGGACCCUGAACUGUGACAAAUGGGCUGGGUGAUGUAAUAUAUUUAGAAAAGUUGUCUGAUAUGCGUAUUUAACUAAAUUCUUUCCCUGACCAA